GGGAUAUAUGAAGAGUAGAGAAGCUGCCACGUCUGCAAAUAAAAUCAUCCAAUCAUUAUGUGACAUGUCAGCCAAAACUACAUACGCAUCUCAACUAUGGGAAACCUUUCGUCUUCUCCACGAGUCCUUGCAAAAAUUGGAUUGUUACAUCUUCCAAAAAUUCUUCGUUCGUUUGGCUUAAUUCCAGGGAGAUAUUAAAUCACUCAUUUAUUUAUUCAUUUUCUUUCCCUUUGAUAAAGCAUUCUACAUCCAAUCUCCAAGAUCCAGAUUUCUCUUCAGAUGUCAUAACCGGACCUUGACCCCUGGAAGUUCUCUUUGCAGUGGCCGGACCGUGAAGUGCGGUGCAGAUGCAGCACACGGCGGGCGACUACUUUCCCUUAUCGGCAAAAAGCUUUAUCUCCAUUAGAGUUUUGAUGCAGAAUAUUGCGGAGCCAUAAGUCCAAGAAAGGUUAUUGUGCACAUCUUUCUUGACUUUCUAUAAGUUCUCAUGUUUUAAUAUUGAGACACUGUAGAGAAACGUCUGAAAGGUGCGGUGGAUAGAGCUAAAGAGAGUUCUUAAGACAAAGAAUACUUAAUUAUAUGUUUCAGCAAUUUUAUAAAACGGCAAAUCCAAAGAUCCCUUUGAAACUACAUGACCAGAGAUAUGAGAAUAUACAAAGAUAAUGUCGAAUUGGAACUGGUGGUCGUUGGUGUUGAGCCAUCAGAAAGAAGUACGAUUUCUGUAGACAGUACUGGUAAGGAGAAUUCAUCAGUCAUACUAAUUCAAAACUUCUCAAACUGGAAUUUUUCACUUUGGCAUCUUCCUUAUAGAACACUACUACAUGUUUUGUACAGGGGGUUAAGUUACUUGAUGAAGUGUUCUAAGGGUAUUGGGUUGGUACUUUGUGCGGGGGGGGGGGGGGGGGGGAACAUAAUACAUACAUCAGGUCGAGAUUUCAUCUGGAGCUGCUGUAGUUGCAGCAAUUAGCUUAUCUAAAAGGGCCUACAUUCGCAGGGAAACUCAUCAUCAUCACAGUAAAUAAAUAAUAGAUUUCACUUUCCUGUAAUCGUGUUACUGGUUUAGUUUUUGAGCUUUCGAUUUACUAAGAAGUAUGUGACACAAGAGAAAGUGAUGGAAUAGCUUCGUCAGAUGAAUUGAAACAAAGAGGAUUUGAUAUACUAAUGCUAUCUGAAUUGAUGGAGCUGGAGGCUAUGAAAUCAAGUUCUCAGCUAAACCAUAUGGUGCUUCCUCGGUUCUUAAAUUGAAACAUGAAUUAGGCAAGACAGUUUUGGAUCUGGUGAAGAAUAUUAUGGAUCAAGCUUUCUCUGUGAAAUUGAAUGGUCAUGUACUCAUGUUCAGUUCUCCUCAAAUAGUAAUGCUGAGUUGAAUGAUCUUCUUUCGAUUACUUCUGAGUUCAAUUUGACAAAAUAUUCAGCAAAAUGGAGGCAGCUCUCACCGCUUAUCUCGCAUUUUCAGAGAUUAUAGCUUUGAAGGAAUGAGACACAGAUUAGUCUCUGAGGAAGCAAAAGCCACAACCAAAUACUUUAUUUCCUGAUCUGAAACAUCUUAUAUCCUAUGUAAAUUAGAUGUCUCUUUGAUGACCUGAAGAACAUAUAAAUUGUUUUUGUGUUGUGAGUCAAGAAAAAGAUUACACGAUUUGUAAUGUGGAGUGAUGUAGUAAAUAAUUAUUUGUUUGUUUUACUAUUCAAAUAAUAUUUGUGAUUUUGUGGAGUC